GUGUCUCCGUCUAGUUUACACACUGACUCUGGCAUUAUAUUCUUAAACUAUAAAGUCUUCCAUUUAUGCCCAUUCCGAAAGCCUAAGCAAACAAAACUAGUCUAAGAAACGGCCAGUUUACUCUGGAAAUCUGAUCCUCUCCUUGCCCAGGAACCACAUGGAUGUCAAGGAGCUCACAUGUCAGUUCUCCCUCUGUACCCAACAGCCCCUGGACUUUGGGAGAAGGCCUGUCUUUUCUUUGGAGUUUAGUUUUCUCCUUUUUUAAAAAAUGAGGCGCUAGACAAACAGCCCAACGCCGUUUAGCUGUAAAUGCUGUUUUGCAAGGCUGAAAGAUCUGAGACUGUGUGUGCCAAGAGGGCUUCAACAUCAUACCUCAUGUGGACUAAUGUACUUAAGGUUCAUCAGAGGACCUGGAACCUGCUUAGGAGCACAAGUUGAUUCCCAACGAUCCUUGAACAAGUCCUGCCACCUCCUGCCCCCAAUGGGUUUUUACAGUUUCCGUUAGAAGUUGUGGGUUGAGCUAAUUAAUAAAGAAUAGGAUUCUGUGAGCUAGUACAACUUCAGGUUUAUCUGAUUUCAUGUGCCGGCCUCCCUGUUCCACAACCCAUAAUUUUUCCCCUCAUAUAUGUUUUAUAAUUGAUGUUUCAGGAAUUUAAAAGACAAGUUUAAGGCUUUCACUAAGGCUAAGGUUCCUUCACUUUCAUUAGUAACACAUUGGCCAGGAUGUGUUGUAGGGACAGAAGCAGUUUCAAAAUUGCUGCCUCAGUCACGGUGCCUGCAAGUGACUUAGCCUGGGUGUUGUGACUGUCCCCAAAGGUACACUUACGGUGGUAUGUCACUCCCCAUUUUUCCCCCCAUGCCUCAGCUGGGUCGCAUUUCCUAUUUCACAGCUAUAAGUCAGGUUCUGGAUACCGUUCAGGGAAUACAGGUGCAGUAUGCUUAAUGCAACAGGGGUAUUUCAUUUCUAUGACCAUUUACAUCCGUGAGGAUUUUGUAAGCACCAUUUAAAAUUAUCCAAAGGGUGCUCUCUCUGUAACUUGAUGCUUUUCACAAAGCAGAAGACCUUUUGAAAACAUGACAUUAUUUCCUACUUUCUGAGUUCUAAUUUCAGGUUUUCCUGAACUAAUUUUAAAAAACGAUGGAGGCUCUCUCGUUCUUUUACAUUUGUCGAGCAGGCUCCACACCCACACAGGAGCC
rnacentral:lncRNA from 1 species